GACAGAGGAUGCAAGCGUUAUCCGGAAUGAUUGGGCGUAAAGCGUCUGUAGGUGGCUUUUUAAGUCCGCCGUCAAAUCCCAGGGCUCAACCCUGGACAGGCGGUGGAAACUACCAAGCUGGAGUACGGUAGGGGCAGAGGGAAUUUCCGGUGGAGCGGUGAAAUGCGUGAGAGAGUACGGAAAAGAACACCAACGGCGAAAGCACUCUGCUGGGCCGACACUGACACUGAGAGACGAAAGCUAGGGGAGCGAAUGGG
rnacentral:rRNA from 1 species